CAGAAAAUAGUUUAAAUAAGAAUGUUGGCUUUGGGUGCCAUUGGUGGGAGUUUAAGUCUCUCUUUUCUGG
rnacentral:tRNA from 1 species